rnacentral:rRNA from 1 species
GACGAACGCUUGCGGCGUGCUUAACACAUGCAAGUCGAACGGAAAGGCCCUGCUUUUGUGGGGUGCUCGAGUGGCGAACGGGUGAGUAACACGUGAGUAACCUGCCCUUGACUUUGGGAUAACUUCAGGAAACUGGGGCUAAUACCGGAUAGGAGCUCCUGCUGCAUGGUGGGGGUUGGAAAGUUUCGGCGGUUGGGGAUGGACUCGCGGCUUAUCAGCUUGUUGGUGGGGUAGUGGCUUACCAAGGCUUUGACGGGUAGCCGGCCGGAGAGGGUGACCGGCCACAUUGGGACUGAGAUACGGCCCAGACUCCUACGGGGGGCAGCAGUGGGGAAUAUUGCACAAUGGGCGGAAGCCUGAUGCAGCAACGCCGCGUGCGGGAUGACGGCCUUCGGGUUGUAAACCGCUUUCGCCUGUGACGAAGCGUGAGUGACGGUAAUGGGUAAAGAAGCACCGGCUAACUACGUGCCAGCAGCCGCGGUGAUACGUAGGGUGCGAGCGUUGUCCGGAUUUAUUGGGCGUAAAGGGCUCGUAGGUGGUUGAUCGCGUCGGAAGUGUAAUCUUGGGGCUUAACCCUGAGCGUGCUUUCGAUACGGGUUGACUUGAGGAAGGUAGGGGAGAAUGGAAUUCCUGGUGGAGCGGUGGAAUGCGCAGAUAUCAGGAGGAACACCAGUGGCGAAGGCGGUUCUCUGGGCCUUUCCUGACGCUGAGGAGCGAAAGCGUGGGGAGCGAACAGGCUUAGAUACCCUGGUAGUCCACGCUGUAAACGGUGGGUACUAGGUGUGGGGUCCAUUCCACGGGUUCCGUGCCGUAGCUAACGCUUUAAGUACCCCGCCUGGGGAGUACGGCCGCAAGGCUAAAACUCAAAGGAAUUGAUGGGGCCCCGCACAAGCGGCGGAGCAUGCGGAUUAAUUCGAUGCAACGCGUAGAACCUUACCUGGGUUUGACAUGGAUCGGGAGUGCUCAGAGAUGGGUGUGCCUCUUUUGGGGUCGGUUCACAGGUGGUGCAUGGCUGUCGUCAGCUCGUGUCGUGAGAUGUUGGGUUAAGUCCCGCAACGAGCGCAACCCUUGUUCACUGUUGCCAGCACGUUAUGGUGGGGACUCAGUGGAGACCGCCGGGGUCAACUCGGAGGAAGGUGGGGAUGACGUCAAGUCAUCAUGCCCCUUAUGUCCAGGGCUUCACGCAUGCUACAAUGGCUGGUACAGAGAGUGGCGAGCCUGUGAGGGUGAGCGAAUCUCGGAAAGCCGGUCUCAGUUCGGAUUGGGGUCUGCAACUCGACCUCAUGAAGUCGGAGUCGCUAGUAAUCGCAGAUCAGCAACGCUGCGGUGAAUACGUUCCCGGG